CAUUCGGAAUAAAUCUAUAUGCUUCCCCAUAAAAAUGUCCAUACUCUGUUACACUUUCCUUGCAGACAUCAUAGGGCAUAAUGGCGACCAUCCAAAAUGACAGAUCUACUAUUGUCCGUCUAAGUGUCUUUGACGUGCAGGCCAGCCAACUUCACCAAAAGUUAGAUGAUGUCGGUGUGAAUCCUAAGGUCAUUAUCGCAAUGAGCACUAACCAAAUGUUGAAAGUGUGUAUGUCAAUCAACAGCAUCGCUUUAGCUGAAAUGGAAUUCCCACAAGCAUACCUUGAAGCUCUUCCAGAGAACGGGAGGCCAUGCCUUGGAGAUUUUCUUAUAGAAACAUCACGUCUGAUAACUUCUCAGCAGAUUACUUGCUUGGAGUCAAGAGAUAUUUCUUCUGGCCACCCCCAAUAUUUUUAGCAAUAAUAAGAACAACAAAACCACGUGGCUCCUCCUACAAAUUUCUACUCUUUUGGUAUGGUUCCAAGUGGUAGCAGCCAUAAAAAUAACCGGAGUAGUAAUCAGAGUUUGUAUUUCAACGUCGUCUCCGGUGAGAUCCUCCACGGGAAGGUUCACGGUAACCAGGCAAGGAAGCUUGAAUUGCCAAGACUGUGGGAAUCAAGCCAAGAAAGAUUUUCCUCAUAUGAGAUGCAGUACUUUUUGCAAGAGCCGAGGGUUUGAUUAUCAAACCCACAUGAAGAGUACAGGGUCCCUGCUGCAAAACGCCGUGAGAGACAGGCCCAGUUAGCUGGUUUGCCAACUAAGCGGAGCAGAGAGGCUAGCUCUGUCGGUGUGAAGCCUAAGGCUGCUUAGUUUCUUUGCACCAGUAAAAUAGAAGCCAUUGAAACCACUAAUGGAUGGUACUACAUUUCCUGCUCCAAAUGUUCAAGGAAGCUUCAGCGAGGAUUCUGGUGUUCUUAGGUAUUGUGUGGAGAUGUGUCUCAGAUGCGACAUACUCAGUCAGCUGUGUUUGAUCGCCACCAGCUUCCCAAUACUGAAAAUUUUGCAUUACAUGUUAAUCUCCUCUUUCUCAUACUUUGUACUUAACAUAUUUUAAUGCGUUUGGACAGGGUGGGAUGGAACAACAUCCCAGGUGAUAUGCCAUGAGCUACAUGUGUAUCCUGCGUCUGCUCUAAAAGCCUCAAGUUAAGUGCAACGGAUUAGGCCAGCGGCAGUAGUGAACAUAGCCACGCUUAAGGUGACUCUUAUGAUUAUAGUAUAUGAUGGAGACAGACCGAGAUGACACACCACAUGUAU